UCCUGUCUCGCGAAAAGUGGUCCUUGCGACCGCCUGCCCUCCAUCUAUAAGUGAUGGAAGGGAUAGCGAGGCGGGUUAUU
rnacentral:ncRNA from 1 species